rnacentral:rRNA from 1 species
CCUACGGGAGGCAGCAGUGAGGAAUAUUGGUCAAUGAGCGCGAGCCUGAACCAGCCAAGUAGCGUGAACGAUGACUGCCCUACGGGUUGUAAACUCCUUUUAUAAAGGAAUACAGUGAGGCACGUGUGCCUUUUUGUAUGUACUUUAUGAAUACGGAUCGGCUAACUCCGUGCCAGCAGCCGCGGUAAUACGGAGGAUCCGAGCGUUAUCCGGAUUUAUUGGGUUUAAAGGAAGUGUAGAUGGGUUGUUAAGUCAGUUGUGAAAGUUUGCGGCUUAACCGUAAAAUUGCAAUUGAUACUGGCAGCCUUGAGUACAGUUGAGGUAGGCGGAAUUCGUGGUGUAGCGGUGAAAUGCUUAGAUAUCACGAAGAACGCCGAUGGCGAAGGCAGCUUACUAAGCUGACACUGACAUUGAGGGUCGAAAGUGUGGGUAGCAAACAGGAUUAGAUACCCUGGUAGUC